AAAGGCGCUUUCGGGUGUCGCUGAUGGAUGGACCCGCGGUGCAUUAGCUAGUUGGUGAGGUAACGGCUCACCAAGGCCACGAUGCAUAGCCGACCUGAGAGGGUGAUCGGCCACAUUGGGACUGAGACACGGCCCAAACUCCUACGGGAGGCAGCAGUAGGGAAUCUUCGGCAAUGGACGAAAGUCUGACCGAGCAACGCCGCGUGAGUGAAGAAGGUUUUCGGAUCGUAAAACUCUGUUGUUAGAGAAGAACAAGGAUGAGAGUAACUGUUCAUCCCUUGACGGUAUCUAACCAGAAAGCCACGGCUAACUACGUGCCAGCAGCCGCGGUAAUACGUAGGUGGCAAGCGUUGUCCGGAUUUAUUGGGCGUAAAGCGAGCGCAGGCGGUUUCUUAAGUCUGAUGUGAAAGCCCCCGGCUCAACCGGGGAGGGUCAUUGGAAACUGGGAGACUUGAGUGCAGAAGAGGAGAGUGGAAUUCCAUGUGUAGCGGUGAAAUGCGUAGAUAUAUGGAGGAACACCAGUGGCGAAGGCGGCUCUCUGGUCUGUAACUGACGCUGAGGCUCGAAAGCGUGGGGAGCAAACAGGAUUAGAUACCCUGGUAGUCCACGCCGUAAACGAUGAGUGCUAAGUGUUGGAGGGUUUCCGCCCUUCAGUGCUGCAGCUAACGCAUUAAGCACUCCGCCUGGGGAGUACGACCGCAAGGUUGAAACUCAAAGGAAUUGACGGGGGCCCGCACAAGCGGUGGAGCAUGUGGUUUAAUUCGAAGCAACGCGAAGAACCUUACCAGGUCUUGACAUCCUUUGACCACUCUAGAGAUAGAGCUUCCCCUUCGGGGGCAAAGUGACAGGUGGUGCAUGGUUGUCGUCAGCUCGUGUCGUGAGAUGUUGGGUUAAGUCCCGCAACGAGCGCAACCCUUAUUGUUAGUUGCCAUCAUUCAGUUGGGCACUCUAGCAAGACUGCCGGUGACAAACCGGAGGAAGGUGGGGAUGACGUCAAAUCAUCAUGCCCCUUAUGACCUGGGCUACACACGUGCUACAAUGGGAAGUACAACGAGUUGCGAAGUCGCGAGGCUAAGCUAAUCUCUUAAAGCUUCUCUCAGUUCGGAUUGCAGGCUGCAACUCGCCUGCAUGAAGCCGGAAUCGCUAGUAAUCGCGGAUCAGCACGCCGCGGUGAAUACGUUCCCGGGCCUUGUACACACCGCCCGUCACACCACGAGAGUUUGUAACACCCG
rnacentral:rRNA from 1 species